rnacentral:rRNA from 1 species
UACGUAGGGCGCAAGCGUUGUCCGGAAUUAUUGGGCGUAAAGAGCUCGUAGGCGGUCUGUCGCGUCGGCUGUGAAAGCCCGGGGCUCAACCCCGGGUCUGCAGUCGAUACGGGCAGGCUAGAGUGCGGUAGGGGAGACUGGAAUUCCUGGUGUAGCGGUGGAAUGCGCAGAUAUCAGGAGGAACACCGGUGGCGAAGGCGGGUCUCUGGGCAGUAACUGACGCUGAGGAGCGAAAGCGUGGGGAGCGAACAGG